UCUUCGGAGACAAGGGUGGUCGCAAAUCCUGGAUGAACCCCUAAAUGAAAGACCCCUGGAGAGGGGAGACCCUCACUCAAGUCUCGGGAUGACUCGACCCCCCAAGAACUCACGAGAGACU
rnacentral:pre_miRNA from 11 species